GUGAAAGAGACCAGGCUAUUCGCAAACUGGAAAGGGAAAUAGAAGAUAAAGAUAGGGAAUUGCAAUCAAUUAAAUUAGACAACGACGCAGCUUGGGCCAAGGAUGAUCUUCUGCGGGAACAAGAUAAGGAAAUAGCAACUUAAAGGAACAAGGAUAAUUAAUCAAUGAAAAAGAAAUGAAGAGGUUUAUCCAUGC